CAUUUGGUCUUCAUCUGCAGAUGGAGUUUGCCCAUUUUUUGUCAUGGAAUUGCAGUUUUUUAAAAGCCCUUUUAGGGAUAGGACUUCCUGUCUAUGUUGAUUAAGAUCCUGUGAUUAGACCUAAAGCACCUGAACAACUACUAAAUGGACUCUCAGAAAGUCAGACCAGCAGUCACAGGUGCAGCAGCAGAAAUAAUGUUGCAUUCCCAGUGAUAAGGACUUCCACAGUGAAUGAAUGGUCGCAGUUCAGGGAGUUCAUCUCAAGACCAGCUGGUGCUACAAAACUGCAGAUACCCCAUGAUGAAUAUUUACUGAAUGCAUCACUACAAUGUUAAGAAUUAGACAAAAUAAGGGAAAAAGGGAUUUGUAUAAGAACCUAGAAAAACUAAGCAGAUGACCACAGUAAGCUCACAGAAAGUAAUCACUGCAGUGAUUUUCUGAACAAAUAAGAUAUGUGUCUCUCAGUUGUGGAGCAGUGACUGUCUCACCCUGAAUUUGUCUGUUCAAUCAAUCACAGAGUUAAUGCACUGAAAAUGUUUGUCUUGUAGUUUUGAUGGCUGAAGUAAAUAAAGUUGAUUCCUUUGUGUCUG